GACGAACGCUGGCGGCGUGCCUAAUACAUGCAAGUAGAACGCUGAAGGAGGAGCUUGCUCUUCUGGAUGAGUUGCGAACGGGUGAGUAACGCGUAGGUAACCUGCCUGGUAGCGGGGGAUAACUAUUGGAAACGAUAGCUAAUACCGCAUAACAGUAGAUGUUGCAUGACAUUUACUUAAAAGGUGCAAUUGCAUCACUACCAGAUGGACCUGCGUUGUAUUAGCUAGUUGGUGGGGUAACGGCUCACCAAGGCGACGAGACAUAGCCGACCUGAGAGGGUGAUCGGCCAACCUGGGACCGAGACACGGCCCCGACUCCUUCGGGAGGCAGCAGUAGGGAAUCUUCGGCAAUGGACGGAAGUCUGACCGAGGAACGCCGCGUGAGUGAAGAAGGUUUUCGGAUCGUAAAGCUCUGUUGUAAGAGAAGAACGAGUGUGAGAGUGGAAAGUUCACACUGUGACGGUAUCUAACCAGAAAGGGACGGCUAACUACGUG
rnacentral:rRNA from 1 species